rfam:Citrobacter rodentium ICC168, complete genome
CUUACCGGAGGAUUUAUGGAUCCCGAUCCCACCCCUCUCCCCCGAUGGAGAUACGUUUUUUUCCGGUAAGCCUGCCCUGCGCUGUCUUACCGGCUACGUAAGACAGCGACGCUAA